CCAGGGAGCCAGCAGCUGAGAGUCCUGCCUCACCACUCUGAAACCCACUCUCGUUGAACAAGGCUAUGGACCUUUUAAAGUUCAUUUCCAGAGAACAAGAAUAGAAAUACUCAAGUACCAAGGCCCAGCUGGGGAAAUCUAGCUGCCAGUCCCCUUCCACUCCAGCCCCCAACCUGGCCAGGGCUGGGGACAUACACUCCAGGUCCAUUUCACCAGAGCCAAAAGUUGUCUUGGAAGGAGCAGGAGGAAAAGAAAACGCAGAGACCUGGAAAACGCGUGCUUUUCCCGUAGGAAGAAGAGCAGUUCCGCCCGCCUAAAGGAACCGAGGACACCCGCUGCCGGCGACGGUCUACACCUUCGAAAGGCAGCUGCUUCCCUCGUGCCGAGGAAAGGGCCAAAGGACAGGAGAAACCGCGAGGCGGCGAGACAAGUUUCCUCGACGCAGAUCUGGGACUGACGACCAUUCCCGAACUCACAGGCUCCGCGGGCGCAGCGAACAGUCGACAGGGAGGGCGGCCCACGCGGCGGCCGCCGCACGCGUCUGCUUGCUCGCGCCCUGCUGCUCCGGGUGGCGGUUUGUUCGGAGCUCGCAGAAGCAACAAACACGCUCCUCUGACACCCCCGGCCGCCCCCGCACGCACUUCUCUGGCCUCUGCCACCGCCCCUCCUGCACAGCGCCGGCCGUUUUUCCGGGGCAGACUCUUUGUCUGCCUGAAACCCCGCAUUCCUCGGGCGUGCAGCUGAAGAGAACCCGGCUCCAAAACGUCUCUGAGGUUAAAUAUUGACCAGAACCUCUCUCAAAGGGCCGCAGCUGCCUUGGACGAAUGAACUCCUAGCAAAGGCCCGGGCAAAGCCGGGGGCGCGGAGGGUUGGCGCAGCGCUUACCUCGAAAGAUGUUUAAGACUGAACCAGUGAUUGUCUCCAACUGCGGGCACUCCGGGAAUCGCCUUUUCCGGUGUCCUGGCGCUCUGCGGACAAAUAAACAGCAGAGGGUAAACGGUGGCUGCGAAGGAAGGGAGUUGGAGAACCGGAGUUGGAAAUGCGGCCUUGCACGGGCGCCAGGGUGGCCCCCGGGGUGACGCGGACACGGAGGAGUCGCCAGGGCACUCGUCCAUGAGGCGCACUCGUUGCUCGAAAGGGUCCAGUCUAAGAAUGGCCUGCAGAUGAUGAUUUAUUUUUGUAAAAUAAAUACAUACUCCAUCUCCGCA